GACGAACGCUGGCGGCGUGCUUAACACAUGCAAGUCGAACGGAAAGGCCCUGCUUUUGUGGGGUGCUCGAGUGGCGAACGGGUGAGUAACACGUGAGCAACCUGCCCCUGACUUUGGGAUAACUUCAGGAAACUGGGGCUAAUACCGGAUAGGAGCUCCUGCUGCAUGGUGGGGGUUGGAAAGUUUCGGCGGUUGGGGAUGGACUCGCGGCUUAUCAGCUUGUUGGUGGGGUAGUGGCUUACCAAGGCUUUGACGGGUAGCCGGCCUGAGAGGGUGACCGGCCACAUUGGGACUGAGAUACGGCCCAGACUCCUACGGGAGGCAGCAGUGGGGAAUAUUGCACAAUGGGCGGAAGCCUGAUGCAGCAACGCCGCGUGCGGGAUGACGGCCUUCGGGUUGUAAACCGCUUUCGCCUGUGACGAAGCGUGAGUGACGGUAAUGGGUAAAGAAGCACCGGCUAACUACGUG
rnacentral:rRNA from 1 species